rnacentral:tRNA from 1 species
GCUGAUAUAGCUUAGCUGGUAAAGCGGUUGACCCGUAAUCAACAGACCGACGGUUCGAGUCCGUCUAUCAGCUCCA